UACGGAAGGUAGCAGUGGGGAAUAUUGCACAAUGGGCGAAAGCCUGAUGCAGCUAUGCCGCGUGUAUGAAGAAGGCCUUAGGGUUGUAAAGUACUUUCAUCGGGGAGGAAAAAACAAAACUAAUAAUUUUAUUUCUUGACGUUACCCGAAAAAGAAGCACCGGCUAACUCCGUGCCAGCAGCCGCGGUAAUACGGAGGGUGCUAGCGUUAAUCAGAAUUACUGGGCGUAAAGAGCACGUAGGUGGUUUUUUUAAGUCAGAUGUGAAAUCCCUGGGCUUAACCUAGGAACUGCAUUUUGAAACUGAAAUACUAGAGUAUCGUAGAGGGAGGUAGAAUUCUAGGUGUAGCGGUGAAAUGCGUAGAUAUCUGGAGGAAUACCUGUGGCGAAAGCGGCCUCCUAAACGAAUACUGACACUGAGGUGCGAAAGCGUGGGGAGCAAACAGGGAUUAGAUACC
rnacentral:rRNA from 1 species